ACAAAAAUAAAGUGUUAUUUGACUGGAGUGAGGUCUCAUGUCUGCUUAUGCGGUGGCUCGCUGCUCAGAACAGGGAGGAAGAGGGUAAUCUGGAAGAGUUUCCUGACCUACUCUGCUGCUGUGAUUAAACAACCACCAGGAAAUUUUGAUGACACUGUUCUCCUGAGCUCCUCCCUUUCCUCGGGGAAGAAAAGCAUUGAAACUACAAAAAUAAAGUGUUAUUUGGCUGGAGUGAGGUCUCAUGUCUGCUUAUGCGGUGGCUCGCUGCUCAGAACAGGGAACCAUUGGAGAUACUCAUUACUCUUUGAAGGCUUACAGUGGAAUGAAUUCAAAUACGACUUAUUUGAGGAAUUGAAGUUGACUUUAUGGAGCUGAUAAGAAUCUUCUUGGAGAAAAAAAGACUGGAUCUUUCAUUGUAGUACUUCUGAAUUAACCAAAAUCACAGUAUUCUGAAGAUGAUUCUACAAAGCCUGCUGUUUCUACAAAGGCUGCUGAUGAUUUCUACAAAGCCUGCUGUAGUGUUGCUGUGGCCUCUGCUUAAAAAAGUAGAAAACACAUUGAUGCAGCAUGUUCACCCCAACCUCCCUGCCUAAAGGCUCAGGGACCAUCUUGGAAGAGGAAGGCGCGUGAGAUUGUAAGAGCCGAAUUAGGGGGAUGGAGUGUGGAGAAUAAGGACACUUCAUCUUGGAUGCUCACCUGCCAAAUUGACUUCUGAUGAAAGCCAGCUCCAGAAAUGUGCCUACAGUUACUACUUUCACCUAAACCCUGCCCUUAGUCAAAUCCUUCUCUUCUUCUAAGCAAUCAACUUCAAUUCCUUGUAUAACCCACAGUAUAAAAGGGCUUUUAUACCAUUCUAUCCUAUUGCAUGUAAGCCUUGGGUCUGGGAGGUAACAGUGUGGGAUUCCACCAUCUCAUCUCCCUGCCACCCAAACAUGCCUGCUCUUCUUUAAGCAAUAUUAAAUGUUUGUACUUCAGAAA
rnacentral:lncRNA from 1 species